UGGGGAAUUUUGGACAAUGGGCGCAAGCCUGAUCCAGCCAUGCCGCGUGCGGGAAGAAGGCCUUCGGGUUGUAAACCGCUUUUGUCAGGGAAGAAAUCUUCUGAGUUAAUACCUCGGGAGGAUGACGGUACCUGAAGAAUAAGCACCGGCUAACUACGUGCCAGCAGCCGCGGUAAUACGUAGGGUGCAAGCGUUAAUCGGAAUUACUGGGCGUAAAGCGUGCGCAGGCGGUUUUGUAAGACAGAGGUGAAAUCCCCGGGCUCAACCUGGGAACUGCCUUUGUGACUGCAAGGCUUGAGUGCGGCAGAGGGGGGAUGGAAUUCCGCGUGUAGCAGUGAAAUGCGUAGAUAUGCGGAGGAACACCGAUGGCGAAGGCAAUCCCCUGGGCCUGCACUGACGCUCAUGCACGAAAGCGUGGGGAGCAAACAGGAUUAGAUACCCCUGGUAGUCCACGCCCUAAACGAUGUCAACUGGUUGUUGGGAAGGUUCCUUCUCAGUAACGUAGCUAACGCGUGAAGUUGACCGCCUGGGGAGUACGGCCGCAAGGUUGAAACUUAAAUGAAUUGACGGGGG
rnacentral:rRNA from 1 species